rnacentral:rRNA from 1 species
UUGUGCUUUCUAAGUAGGUACUUUCCGGGUUUCUGUGUCGUAGCUAACGCAUUAAGCGCCCUGCCUGGGGAGUACUGCCGCAAGGCUAAAACUCAAAGGAAUUGACGGGGGCCCGCACAAGCGGCGGAGCAUGCGGAUUAAUUCGAUGCAACGCGAAGAACCUUACCAAGGCUUGACAUACACCGGAAACGGCCAGAGAUGGUCGCCCCCUUGUGGUCGGUGUACAGGUGGUGCAUGGUUGUCGUCAGCUCGUGUCGUGAGAUGUUGGGUUAAGUCCCGCAACGAGCGCAACCCUCGUUCUAUGUUGCCAGCGGGUUAUGCCGGGGACUCAUAGGAGACUGCCGGGGUCAACUCGGAGGAAGGUGGGGAUGACGUCAAAUCAUCAUGCCCCUUAUGUCUUGGGCUUCACGCAUGCUACAAUGGCCGGUACAAAGGGCUGCGAUACCGUAAGGUGGAGCGAAUCCCAAAAAGCCGGUCUCAGUUCGGAUUGAGGUCUGCAACUCGACCUCAUGAAGUCGGAGUCGCUAGUAAUCGCAGAUCAGCAACGCUGCGGUGAAUACGUUCCCGGGCCUUGUACACACCGCCCGUCAAGUCAUGAAAGUCGGUAACACCCGAAGCCGGUGGCCUAACCCUUGUGGAAGGAGCCGUCGAAGUGAU